rnacentral:rRNA from 1 species
GGGGACUUCAACCUUGUCAGAAAUGUGGAGGAACGCAGCACAGGAAGAGGGAGCCGUCGGAUCAUUAAUAAGUUUAGGCAUACUAUUAACAGUUUGGGCCUGCAUGAUAUGCCGCUGGUGGGUAGGAAAUACACGUGGAGCAACGAGCAAGAGCACUCGGUCAUGGCUAGGCUCGAUCGGGUGCUCUUCAACAACGCAUGGGAGGAGGUCUACCCAAUCAGUGAUCUCCUGCCAUUGAGCUCUAAUGUGUCUGACCACUGCCCGCUUCUGCUAACUUGUGCGGAGGGCCGGCCAAGAGCACACCGGUUCCGUUUUGAGAACUUUUGGUGCAAGCUUCCUGGAUUUCAUGACACGGUGAGGCAGGCGUGGGAGGGAGAAGUGGCCAGUUCGGAUCCCGCUAAGAUUUUUGGUAUCAAGCUGCAGAGGACAGCCAAAGCACUUUGUAGUUGGGGCCAGAAGAAGCAGAGCGAGAUAGCGAUCCUGUUUCAGAUUGCCAAUGAGGUGAUUCUGCGCCUCGACACGGCACAAGAGGCGAGGGCCCUGUCGGCGUAG